UUUCAGCUCUCACAAGUUCCUUGCUGUUGUGUGUCCCCAAGUCAUUUUGGACUCUGAGGUGACCCUAGCAGAGGGUUUUCUUGGCAAGUUUGUUCUGAGCUGGUUUGCCCUUGCCUUACUUUGAGGCUGAAAGAGUGUGACUUGGCCAAGGUCAAGGUUUUUAUGCUUCAGCGGAGAUUCGAACUCUGAUCUCCAGAAUCCUAGUCCAAUGUUCAAAUGACUACACACCAUGCUGUCUCUCUCAAUCAGUAAUGAAAGGAAGGAGAGAGAAUUGUUAAGUACCACUCCUUUUUUCUUUUCUUUUCAUUAUUUGUACUUCAUAGUAGGUGGGCGUCUUGGAGAGCCUUUCCUGACCCUGUGGAAAAAUGGGGCAGAAAUAUCUGAAAUAAAGCUUAAAAAAAAACCCUACAACAAUGCCAGCCAUUUGCUUUGCUUGAAACCAAACCUAUAUGGAGCAAUUCCCCUUUUUUGGGCCACCUCUCCUCAGAAGAGAAACCCUGUAUUUAAAGCUCACCUGUGCCUUAAAUUUGGUGCUUCUUUGUCCUGAUCUUACACCUGCCCACUAUGACACCUAACACCUGCUUCUUUUCUCUUCUUCUGGUUUCUGAAACAUUAUAAAAGAUCAGCCAACAGCUUCAAAAGAGUUAAAAUUAAAUGGUCUAGAAAAAUAUGUAACGAGGAAUGGAAUUCUGUUACAACAGCCAGAACUGGGAUG